rnacentral:lncRNA from 1 species
GAGUAGUAACAUAGAACCCGAGAGCUCUCAUAACUUCUUCGCACAAUUGAGUAACGGUACUUAGUCCAGUACUGGUAUAAAAUGAAAAUCUACAGUUCUUUCGUUUUGGCUCUUCAAAGUCCGUAUUCGCACCGAAAAUAUUCAAAAGUUUUCCAAACACCGUUAUGGUGAUCAAAAUAGUUUUAACCACUAUUGCUCAUUAGAACUUCGCUAUUUUCAGAAGCUCAAUAUAUUACAAAUAUUUUUACUACAAAGAGU